rnacentral:rRNA from 1 species
UACACACCUCAGAGCCAACUUCAAUAAAGAAUUUUAUUCUAAAUUUACUACUAAAUCCACCUUAAUAAUAUUUUACAUACCUAAUCCGUAUAAUUUUAAUUUAUUGUAACCCACUUCUCCCAUACUUAUAAGCUGCACCUUGACCUGAAGUCUUAAAUUUUAAAUUAAUUAGAUUAUAUUUUCUAAAAAUAAUCUGACAACGGCGGUAUACAAACUGAAUACAAAAGUAUGUGCAUUUAAACGUGGAAUAUCGAUCCAAGAGCAGGUUCCUCUAGUAAGAAUGAAGUACCGCCAAAUUCUUUAGGUUUCAAUAAAUCUACUACCCUGGCAAUAAAUUUAAUAAAGA